GGUUGGGCGGCAGCUUACACAUGCAGUCGAGCGGUAGCACAGGGGAGCUUGCUCCCUGGGUGACGAGCGGCGGACGGGUGAGUAAUGUCUGGGAAACUGCCUGAUGGAGGGGGAUAACUACUGGAAACGGUAGCUAAUACCGCAUAACGUCGCAAGACCAAAGAGGGGGACCUUCGGGCCUCUUGCCAUCAGAUGUGCCCAGAUGGGAUUAGCUAGUAGGUGGGGUAAUGGCUCACCUAGGCGACGAUCCCUAGCUGGUCUGAGAGGAUGACCAGCCACACUGGAACUGAGACACGGUCCAGACUCCUACGGGAGGCAGCAGUGGGGAAUAUUGCACAAUGGGCGCAAGCCUGAUGCAGCCAUGCCGCGUGUGUGAAGAAGGCCUUCGGGUUGUAAAGCACUUUCAGCGAGGAGGAAGGUGGUGAACUUAAUACGUUCAUCAAUUGACGUUACUCGCAGAAUAAGCACCGGCUAACUAUGUGCCAGCAGCCGCCAUU
rnacentral:rRNA from 1 species